rnacentral:rRNA from 1 species
GAUGAACGCUAGCGGGAGGCCUAAUACAUGCAAGUCGAGGGGUAACAGGGUCUUCGGACCGCUGACGACCGGCGCACGGGUGAGUAACGCGUACACAACCUACCUUUAAGAGGGGGAUAG